AUGCUUAAGGUCACAAAUGUGAACACAGAAGUAUCCUUACAGCCAGAACAUUCUCUGAUGCCAGGCCUGUCUAGAAACAACUAUACAGAGAUUUCAGGUUGGAUACUUGUAUUACCCCAGUGCGGUGUUCCAGAUCUUAGUGGUUGUUCUUUGUCAAUGAAAAGAGAGUACUGUAUUUUUGUGACCCAACACUAGGCUGUUUGGGGGUAAAAAGUCAUUGUGGCAUGUCUACAGUUACAAGCAAAGAGCUCCCAGUUUUAAAUACAAUUUUUAGGUUGGCAUCUAUAACUCAUACCACGAGGAAACAUUUGUUUAGGAAAGGUCCGCCCCCCCAUCCCAUGUUUGUGGCUUUGGGACUGGGACCGGCUAAGGAGGGGGCUGAUUUCGGUUGACCCGGCCAAGAGUCCUGUAGCGCAUGCGCAGUCCUGGCUCCAAGGUAACGGCCCAGAGAGAGCCACCAACCAGGCCGCAGUUUUCGUGGUGGAUGGUGGAAAAACAGAAAGCAAGAGACACACACACACACAAGAAAAGCCCUGGAAGCAACCCGCAGGCCG
rnacentral:lncRNA from 1 species